AAAGAGCCUGAACCGUCAUGGGGGAAGCGGAUCGCGUUGGCCUGGUGGGCGCCUGUGUGUUCAGCCUUCGGGUGCAUUGGCACAGGUGCUUAUCCGCUGUGGGUUUUCGGGGGUCGAUUUUGGAUCCCUGGAGGCUGAGGGCUCCCUUCGGGUGAGGACAGCGGAGUGACGACGCGAUACGACCCGUCUUGAAACACGGACCAAGGAGUCUAGCGCGGGUGCGAGUCGGAGGGUGCAAGCCCGUGGGCGAAGUGAAAGCGAGUGUAAAAACGAGCAGUUUGGGGCGGCAUAAGAUCGUUGAUCUCAAGACCGACCCAGAGCAGUUGCGCUGGGACCCGAAAGAUGGUGAACUAUGCCGGAGUAGGGCAAAGCCAGAGGAAACUCUGGUGGAGGCUCGUAGCGGUGCUGACGUGCAAAUCGCUCGUCCAACUUGGGUAUAGGGGCGAAAGACUAAUCGAACCAUCUAGUAGCUGGUUCCCUCCGAAGUUUCUCUCAGGAUAGCGGGCCGACAAGUUGUUUUGUGCGGUAAAGCGAAUGAUUAGCGCACGUGGGGCCAUUUCGGCUUCAGGCGAUUCUCAAACUUUAAAUGCGCAAGGGUGUCGCUGCUUAAUUGAGCGGCACCGCUAAAAACGUCGGCCCUGUGGGCCACUUUUGGUAAGCAGAACUGGCGAUACGGGAUGAACCGUAAGCAUGGUUAAGGCGCCAAACUGCCCGCUUAUA
rnacentral:rRNA from 1 species